CCUACGGGAGGCAGCAGUGAGGAAUAUUGGUCAAUGGCCGUAAGGCUGAACCAGCCAAGUCGCGUGAAGGAAGAAGGAUCUAUGGUUUGUAAACUUCUUCUAUCGGGGAAUAAAGGUCUCUACGUGUGGACUUUUGCUUGUACCCUAUGAAUAAGCAUCGGCUAACUCCGUGCCAGCAGCCGCGGUAAUACGGAGGAUGCGAGCGUUAUCCGGAUUUAUGGGGGUUAAAGGGUGCGUAGGCUGUUUGUUAAGUCAGGGGUGAAAGUGGGUGGCUCAACCACAACAUGGCCGUUGAAACUGGAAGGCUUGAGUGUGUGUGAGGUAAGCGGAAUGCGUGGUGUAGCGGUGAAAUGCAUAGAUAUCACGCAGAACUCCGAUUGCGAAGGCAGCUUACUAAGCCAUAACUGACACUGAAGCACGAAAGCGUGGGGAUCAAACAGGAUUAGAUACCCCGGUAGUC
rnacentral:rRNA from 1 species